rnacentral:rRNA from 1 species
GCCAGCAGCCAUAUCACCUUGCAACUCACAACUGGCUAAGCAGGUGUGAGCCUGGUAAGUACCUGGAUGGGAGACCUCCAGGGAAAAACUAAGGUUGCUGCUGGAA